GACGAACGCUGGCGGCGUGCUUAACACAUGCCAGUCGAACGGAAAGGCCCUGCUUUUGUGGGGUGCUCGAGUGGCGAACGGGUGAGUAACACGUGAGUAACCUGCCCUUGACUUUGGGAUAACUUCAGGAAACUGGGGCUAAUACCGGAUAGGAGCUCCUGCUGCAUGGUGGGGGUUGGAAAGUUUCGGCGGUUGGGGAUGGACUCGCGGCUUAUCAGCUUGUUGGUGGGGUAGUGGCUUACCAAGGCUUUGACGGGUAGCCGGCCUGAGAGGGUGACCGGCCACAUGGGGACUGAGAUACGGCCCAGACUCCUACGGGAGGCAGCAGUGGGGAAUAUUGCACAAUGGGCGGAAGCCUGAUGCAGCAACGCCGCGUGCGGGAUGACGGCCUUCGGGUUGUAAACCGCUUUCGCCUGUGACGAAGCGUGAGUGACGGUAAUGGGUAAAGAGGCACCGGCUAACUACGU
rnacentral:rRNA from 1 species